rnacentral:rRNA from 1 species
GACGAAGGGCUCGACUGUUAUUCGUUUUGAUUGGGUGUAAAGGGUGAGUAGGCGGUUAAUCGAAAAAUUUUGAGUCAAAACGCGGAGUGUUCCUCCGCGAAAGCUCGAUCUCUAGGAUUUGACUAGUGUUGAUAAGGGGUUUAGGCAAUUUCGUACGUAGGAGUAAAAUCCAUCGAUGUACGAACGAACGCAGCUGGCAAAGGCGCUUUCCUGUUUCAACAGACGCUGAGGCACGGAAGCGUAGGGAGCAAACGGGAUAG